rnacentral:rRNA from 1 species
UACGUAGGGGGCAAGCGUUGUCCGGAUUUAUUGGGCGUAAAGAGCGUGUAGGCGGCGGUGUAAGUUGGAAGUGAAAUCCCAUCGGCUCAACCGUGGAAUUGCUCCCAGUACUGCAUCGCUCGAGGGGGAUAGGGGUCUGCGGAACUACCGGUGGAGCGGUGAAAUGUGUUGAUAUCGGUGGGAACGCCAGUGGCGAAAGCGGCAGACUAGACCCUUCCUGACGCUGAUGCGCGAAAGCUAGGGGAGCAAACGGG